GACGAACGCUGGCGGCGUGCUUAACACAUGCAAGUCGUACGGUAAGGCCCUUUCGGGGGUACACGAGUGGCGAACGGGUGAGUAACACGUGAGUAACCUGCCCACAACUUUGGGAUAACGCUAGGAAACUGGUGCUAAUACUGGAUAUGUGCUCCUGCUGCAUGGUGGGGGUUGGAAAGCUCCGGCGGUUGUGGAUGGACUCGCGGCCUAUCAGCUUGUUGGUGGGGUAGUGGCCUACCAAGGCGGCGACGGGUAGCCGGCCUGAGAGGGUGACCGGCCACAUUGGGACUGAGAGACGGCCCAGACUCCUACGGGAGGCAGCAGUGGGGAAUAUUGCACAAUGGGCGCAAGCCUGAUGCAGCAACGCCGCGUGCGGGAUGACGGCCUUCAGGUUGUAAAACGCUUUCAGCAGGGACGAAGCUUUUUGUGACGGUACCUGCAGAAGAAGCACCGGCUAACUACGUG
rnacentral:rRNA from 1 species